rnacentral:rRNA from 1 species
UACGGAGGAUGCAAGCGUUAUCCGGAAUGAUUGGGCGUAAAGCGUCCGCAGGUGGCUGUGUAAGUCUGCUGUCAAAGAGCGAAGCUCAACUUCGUAAAGGCAGUGGAAACUACACGGCUAGAGUGCGUUCGGGGCAGAGGGAAUUCCUGGUGUAGCGGUGAAAUGCGUAGAGAUCGGGAAGAACAUCGGUGGCGAAAGCGCUCUGCUGGACUGCAACUGACACUCAGGGACGAAAGCGUGGGGAGCAAACAGG